UUUUGGGUCCACUCACCUUUUGCGCCUGCCGGAUGGGUGGAUAAAUGGAGGACUUGUAAAACAGUUGGAAAAAUCGUCUCUAAGCUAUGUUAACUGGGGGUUCGUCUGGGUUCCUUGGCUCGCAUCAAAAGGAGUGGAGCUGUUUAGUUUAAAUGCCACUUCAAAGACUGUUCCAACGCAGUGUAAAUUUUUUUUGCUAAUUUUAUUAAAAUUUCAUUUAACUAAAUUGCAAAUGUUUCUUCUUGCGGCCUGGCCUCUUGCUGCUUGCUGUUCUGUUGAAUGUUUCUUUAAUUUUUUUUCGACUGUCGGGCUCUGCUCUGUGCAAAAAUCAACUGUUCGACUCGCGGCGACGACGACUACGAUGACUAUGACUACGCCGGCGAAGAGAGAGAACAUGGCCGGAGAGCUACAGAGAGAUAGAGAGAAAGAGAGAGCAUGGCCGAGAGCGCCGACGCCAAUGUUUCCACCGAUUCCUAGCUGCAUUUCGCGAAGCUUUUCUCUUGAGAUUGCCCCCUUAAGCCCCUAAGCCCCCAAACCCCCAGAAAGAAAAGGUGCUAUUUGCGUGCUACAGUACGAGUACUCUCGAUAUUGGUUCAUUACUCAUGCGAUUACGUUAUGGCCCGACUAUGUGUAUCAAUAAUGGAGUUAAGACUAAAACUGGACGAAAAGGCUGCAUAAAUCAAUAAACAGAAUGACGCGUAUCAUAAUUAUCUAAUUGCUGCAGUUUGUCAGCCACUGGGCCAGCCUCCGUUGCCAUGUUGCAUAACGUGCAACCACUUACAUAAUCGGUCCUUGGACCGCGAUAAAGCUGAAGGCGGCACCUACCAAAAACAAGGUCAAAAGUUCAAGGACUGAGAAAAGCUCUCGCCCACGAAGAGCAGCGCAGGCGGCGGAGCGAAAGCAUCUGCGUCAAGCGGAAGUCCUCCAGGUUUAUGUGUUUGUGGGUGCGGAAAUGAAUGCGACUGUGUGUAUAUGUGUGAGUUGAUGUUUUGGUUGUGUAACAGAAGCUAAAGGAAUUGCUACCUUCCUAACUUCCUAACAGCAUUCGAAAUGAAUUAUAUUUGCAUUUUAAUUUUGUUUAACUUUUUUUUUAUUGAUUUUUUAAGUGAAUGCAUUUUGCUUGCUACGUAAUUGGUUUAUAAUUUUUUGCUGUCUUAAUGUUAAUGAUAUAUUUGCAUAUGCCACAAAAACUGUUGCUAGCCAUUUUUUGUUUUUGUUUUUUAAGCUUUAAUAAAAUCUUUUUCAGAAAUCAUACAUGGCAAAUCAGUUUUCAAAUAAAAUGUUUUUACCCGUUUAUUUAAAGCCGAUCUAUGUGCAUAUUUUUAUUGGUUUUUGUGUGAGUAUUCGCUAAAUUUUAAUGUAAUUUAACAUUGGUUUCCAUUUCUCUGGAUAAAACAGAUUUAAUAUAAUUAAACGAAUUCGUUUUACUUUGCACGCUGGCUGCCUCUGCUUUACAAUCGUCUUCCUGCUAAGCCUAACUAUCGUACUACUCGAUCGGUGUCGAUCUGCUAAAUAUUAUAUCAUCGGGCCUCAUUCCUAACGGUCCUUCUUAUCAACAUCAUUAUCUUCAUCGUCGUUUUCUUGUUGUUCUUAACUCUCUUUUUAUUUUUAUUUUGUUUGGAAAAGUUGUUAACAUUCUUUUGUUGGUCGCACAUGUUUCGCAUUGGCUUUUUCUUGUUCUUUUGUUGUUGUUAUAAUUGUUCUUGUUUUUGUCUGUUGUUGUUGUUGUUGAAAUAGUUGUUGUUUUUAGUGUUUGUGUGUUCUUCUUGUUUGCCUUCUUGUUUUUAUCACAGCUUUCUUCACUUUUGCUCUCAUAACUUUUAAGCAUAACUUGCAUAUAUGUACAUUUAUAAAUCUUGUUGUUAAUGCACGGCUGUUUUUUAAUCGUCUUUCUUUUCUUAUAUCAUUCCACCCCCCUGGAACACCCACUCCCUCAGCAUCGUAAGUGUAAGUGGUGUUUUCAUGCUCCUUCUGUAUAUAAGUUCACAUCGGGGGGCUACGUCUUAUAUACUCAUUUCAUAUACAUAUAUAACAUGCUUGCGCUUUCUUCUCGUUGGUGUUUUUCUCUCUCUUUCUCUUUCAUUCUGCUGUCAACACUUAUCUUAGACAUUGAUGUUACUGCAAUUGUUGAUUGCUGUUUGCUGCAUUUUUGUUGCUGCUGGCUAACAUAUAAAUUGCAUUUGCUUUGUGGUGUACAAUGAUUUACAUUUGUGGAAUGAUUUACAAAAAUUGGUUUUCUUCUCUCCUCUCGAAUUAAAAUUUAAAUACAAUAAAUGGCAUAUAAAAUAUAUAUAUAUAUUUUUGUUGUUGCAGUAAGUAUACAAAAAGAACGUUACGUUACGCACAGCAUGUACUCGUACAGCAGCGUUGUUGGAAGUGACUCUAGUG